rnacentral:miRNA from 1 species
UGGUUUAUCUUAUCUGUCGAGGC